GCUACAGUGCCAAACAGUGGCAGUGCUAUUAGAGGCCUGAGGUCUAAUAUAGGACUUAUAUGGCAUUGAUACUUGUGUGUCUUGUGCUGUUGGACUGAAGAAGGCCAAAAGCGCAGUGCCUUUAAAACUCAUCUGCCUCUUUUUUUUGAGGGGGAGUCUCACUCUGUCAUCCAGGCUGGAGUGGCAUCUUGGCUCGCUGGAACCUCUACCUCCUGAGUUCACGAGGUUCUCCUGCCUCAGCCUCCCGAGUAGCUGGGAUUACAGAGGCUCAUGCUACUAUGCCUGACUAAUUUUUGUUGUAUUUUUUUUUCAGUAGAGAUGGAGUUUCACCAUGUUGGUCAGGCUGGUCUCGAACUCCUGACCUCAAGUGGUCCACCUGCCUUGGCUCCCCAAAGUUCUGGGAUUACAGGUGUAAGCCACUGCACCCGGCCUCUGUUGCUUUUUCAGCUAUGACCAGCAUACUCUGGUUAGAUGCUGUGGAAGACCCAAGCCAUGAACGAGCUGGAGGGAAUCUGCGGUACUUUGAGCAGUUAUUGGAGGAAGAAAGAGAAAAAAUGUUAUCAAAUCAGACAGAAGCUGAGCUAGCAACCCCAGAAGGCAUCUAUGAGAGGCCUGUGGACUACCUGCCUGAGAGGGAUGUUUACGAGAGCCUCUGUCGUGGGGAGGGUGUCAAACUGGUGAGAUGUGUGUCGGGGGGUUCAGGGUGCCAAAGCUGUGUACCUGGACUCUGGCUCUGGGCACACAGCUUUAGGGAAAGUGUUCUUCAUUUCGUAGGUACUUUUCUUAGUAUCUCCCCCAGUUUUUCACGGCAUAUCCUGAGUCUGACGUGGGUAUUCUCUGAGGUGUAGGAAAGGAGUUUAUCUCCUCUCAGGCCCCAGGUAGAACGUUGCUCCUCCAAGUUACCACUGAGCUUGCCUCCUU
rnacentral:lncRNA from 1 species